GGCUCUGUAGUGAAGUUCAUGGUGAGUUGCAAGCUCAUUGAUGUACAUUUGUUGUGUACCGGAGUCU
rnacentral:tRNA from 1 species